UGAUGACACAUUCUCCGGAAUCUCUGUACUACUUUGAUGAUUUUCCUUGAACCCCUUUAGCUGAUGACUGCCUGGUAUAACC